GUCUACAGUCAUGCCAUCCUGAACACGCCCUAUCUCAUCUGAUCUCGGAAGCUAAGCAGAGUUAGUACUUGGAUGGGAGACCAUCUAGGAAGACCAGGUGCUGUAGGUG
rnacentral:rRNA from 1 species